rnacentral:rRNA from 1 species
GAUGAACGCUGGCGGCGUGCCUAAUACAUGCAAGUCGAGCGAACGGACGAGAAGCUUGCUUUUCUGAUGUUAGCGGCGGACGGGUGAGUAACACGUGGAUAACCUACCUAUAAGACUGGGAUAACUUCGGGAAACCGGAGCUAAUACCGGAUAAUAUUUUGAACCGCAUGGUUCAAAAGUGAAAGACGGUCUUGCUGUCACUUAUAGAUGGAUCCGCGCUGCAUUAGCUAGUUGGUAAGGUAACGGCUUACCAAGGCAACGAUGCAUAGCCGACCUGAGAGGGUGAUCGGACACACUAGAACUGAGACACGGUCCAGACUCCUACGGGAGGCAGCAGUAGGGAAUCUUCCGCAAUGGGCGAAAGCCUGACGGAGCAACGCCGCGUGAGUGAUGAAGGUCUUCGGAUCGUAAAACUCUGUUAUUAGGGAAGAACACAUGUGUAAGUAACUGCGCACAUCUUGACGGUACCUAAUCAGAAAGCCACGGCUAACUACGUG